CACACCGCCCGUCACACCAUGGAAGUUGGUUGCACCAGAAGUCGGUCGCUUAACCGCAAGGAGGGCGACUACCACGGUGAGAUUCAUGACUGGGGUG
rnacentral:rRNA from 1 species